rnacentral:lncRNA from 1 species
AAUCAUCAAUUGAGACUUAUUUUUUGAUCACAUAGGAAAACAAGGAUUCCACACACUCUGAAAUGAUGUAACACUAAUCGUUUGACAAUCCUGCUUCUUUUCAUUAAAUUUUUUACGGUAUGCUUCUUUUCUUUUCAAUUUUACAAGUGUACCAUUUUUUUUGUGGUGUAUGCUUUUUUUGUUACAAUAUUCUCUUUGCUUGUACUUUUCUUAUUAUUAGUUCAAUAUUUUUUGUUUUCUUUUUUUACAAAUUUGAACAAUAGGUUAAUUUAAUAAUUUAAUUUGUAAUGAUUUUGUUGAAGAAACAAACAGAUUUUUAGUAAUGGAUGUCAAUGUUUUUGAAGAGAUUCCAUGUAAUAUGCAAGUAGAAGUGGAAAAAAAAAAGAGAGAAUCUUGUUUUGACAAUUAAUGAUUAUAAUUAAUUCAUUCUCUUCAAUUUGAAGAAUGUUUUGAUAAUGUUCAUUUUCCAGUGUGAUAAAAAAAUAAGUCUCACCCAACUAAUUAUUAUGAAUCAAUCUUAGCCAUUAAUUGAAAUUAAAAACAAAGGUCAUGAUUUGGAGUAGCUUUUAUAACUUACUCUUGGAGUCAAUAUAACCCU